AUUGAACGCUGGCGGCAGGCCUAACACAUGCAAGUCGAACGAGUGGCGGACGGGUGAGUAAUGUCUGGGAAACUGCCCGAUGGAGGGGGAUAACUACUGGAAACGGUAGCUAAUACCGCAUACCAUCGGAUGUGCCCAGAUGGGAUUAGCGAGUAGGUGGGGUAACGGCUCACCUAGGCGACGAUCCCGAGCUGGUCUGAGAGGAUGACCAGCCACGCUGGAACUGAGACAGUGUCCAGACUCCGACGGGAGGCAGCAGGGGGGAAUAUUGCACAAGGGGCGCAAGCCUGAUGCAGCCAUGCCGCGUGUAUGAAGAAGGCCUUCGGGUUGUAAAGUACUUGCAGCGGGGAGGCGUUACCCGCAGAAGAAGCACCGGCUAACUCCGUGCCAGCCGCCGCGGUAAUAC
rnacentral:rRNA from 1 species